rnacentral:rRNA from 1 species
AUUGAACGCUGGCGGCAGGCCUAACACAUGCAAGUCGAGCGGAUGAGUGGAGCUUGCUCCAUGAUUCAGCGGCGGACGGGUGAGUAAUGCCUAGGAAUCUGCCUGGUAGUGGGGGACAACGUUUCGAAAGGAACGCUAAUACCGCAUACGUCCUACGGGAGAAAGUGGGGGAUCUUCGGACCUCACGCUAUCAGAUGAGCCUAGGUCGGAUUAGCUAGUUGGUGAGGUAAAGGCUCACCAAGGCGACGAUCCGUAACUGGUCUGAGAGGAUGAUCAGUCACACUGGAACUGAGAAACGGUCCAGACUCCUACGGGAGGCAGCAGUGGGGAAUAUUGGACAAUGGGCGAAAGCCUGAUCCAGCCAUGCCGCGUGUGUGAAGAAGGUCUUCGGAUUGUAAAGCACUUUAAGUUGGGAGGAAGGGCAGUAAGUUAAUACCUUGCUGUUUUGACGUUCCAACAGAAUAAGCACCGGCUAACUUCGUG